rnacentral:tRNA from 1 species
GGGGAUGUAGCUCAGUUGGGAGAGCAGUUGCCUUGCACGCAUCAGGUCGCAGGUUCGAAUCCUGUCAUCUCCACCA